rnacentral:rRNA from 1 species
UACGUAGGGCGCAAGCGUUGUCCGGAAUUAUUGGGCGUAAAGAGCUCGUAGGUGGUUUGUUACGUCUGCUGUGAAAACCUAGGGCUUAACCCUGGGCCUGCAGUGGAUACGGGCAGACUAGAGGUAGGUAGGGGAGAAUGGAAUUCCUGGUGUAGCGGUGAAAUGCGCAGAUAUCAGGAGGAACACCGGUGGCGAAGGCGGUUCUCUGGGCAUUACCUGACGCUGAGGAGCGAAAGCGUGGGGAGCAAACAGG